UUUAUGGAGAGUUUGAUCCUGGCUCAGGACGAACGCUGGCGGCGUGCUUAACACAUGCAAGUCGAACGGAGCGAAUGAAAGCUUGCUUUUAUGAGCUUAGUGGCAAACGGGUGAGUAACACGUAGACAACCUGCCGACAGGAUGGGGACAACAUUCCGAAAGGAAUGCUAAUACCGAAUGAAGUCAGAGGAGGGCAUCCUUCUCUGAUGAAAGAUGGCCUCUGAAUAUGCUAUCACCUGUUGAUGGGUCUGCGUCUGAUUAGCUCGUUGGUGAGGUAACGGCUCACCAAGGC
rnacentral:rRNA from 1 species